ensembl:lncRNA
UACAGACUCACCCACCCACAGCUCACUUGGAUGCAGAUGAAAUCCAGAUGCGCAAACGCUCAGUUCUCUGCAAGGGAAAUGCUAAAUGCUACGUGAGGAUAGUUGUAUCUUGGCCUUUAAUUCCAUGGACACGGUCAGAUUGCUUUUGCAGGGACUGCAGUCUGCGGCAGCCCUGAGGACAGGAUGCGAAAUGCUCCAGCUCACAGCUUCUGCAUGACUGCCAUCCCUGCCAGCCACCAUGCUGCAGCCCUCAGGUUCCCAUCUGCUGAGAGACACUAAUGAAGUCAUCUUAAUCAGGAUGCAGGUUUGCAGCACCCGGCUGCAGCAUUGGAAACAGGUUUGGAGAUCCCUGCUCUGCUUCCAGGCAGGCCUGGUGCUUUGUGCUGGAGGAACACGGAGUGCUGCUGUGCUGAGCAAGUACUACAACCUAUUCUGUAAGGUACCAGAUGUGAUAGAGGCUUCCCAGCCCUGUGCUGGUGCCCAGCAGUGCCAGCUGUGGUUCUGGAGUUUGUCCAUAAGGAGCAGGGGCAUUUAGCACAGAGCUGCACCUUCUAGAAGAACUUUUUCCUGUGUUUUCCUGCUUCAGAUCCAGCCUGCAUUCUGUACAUAAAUUGGGUCUGCAAGGCCUCAGCAUAAUUUACUUCC